AGGGCUUUACAUUAGCAACAAGCCCCCUGUGUUAACAUUCUUUGCGGUCACCCUCCUACAGUCUCCUUACGACGCUCAACAAGCGUAAUCUGCACACACCGUGGCCUUGAAUUGUUUUCGUCACGAGAACGAUUGAACUUUGCUACUGAGCCUUCAGAUUCUCAAAACAAGAACAGACCCCAGUACUGCGGCAAAGGUGUCUAUCAUUAUGCAUGAAAUGAAUUGGCAGUAUCUUGACCAUUUUGGCGCCAACCCUGUCGAUAGCCCAGCCCAUGACGAACAUCAUGAUGGCGUUAACAAAGCAGGCGAUGGUAAGCGCGAGAUUGAGGCGAUCAUCUUGCGCCCCGCAGCCACGGAGCUCAUCAUUAUCAGAGGGAACCAAUCGAGUGACAUUCUCAGGACACAGAUGGAAGAAAACCCUCUCCCCCUUGAGAACAAACACCAAGGAGGACCAUCCCAGCAGAGGCGAGGCGAACAGGGACAUUUCCACCACCGACACCACGAAUAGCACCCAGAGGCGGAAAGAUGAAAGUUGAGUGUUACCUGUGUUGGUCAUUGCUAUGUUGGUUGUAAGACCGCCUGAGUAACUCUUAUCUGAUUAAACGUACUUCCUUGAAA